CAGUCGCCGCGGGAAUACGUAGGGUGCAAGCGUUAAUCGGAAUUACUGGGCGUAAAGCGUGCGCAGGCGGUUCGUUAAGACAGAUGUGAAAUCCCCGGGCUUAACCUGGGAACUGCAUUUGUGACUGGCGGGCUAGAGUAUGGCAGAGGGGGGUAGAAUUCCACGUGUAGCAGUGAAAUGCGUAGAGAUGUGGAGGAAUACCGAUGGCGAAGGCAGCCCCCUGGGCCAAUACUGAUGCUCAUGCACGAAAGCGUGGGGAGCAAACAGGAUUAGAUACCCGUGUAGUCCCUGUCUCUUAUAC
rnacentral:rRNA from 1 species